AGAUUGAACGCUGGCGGCAUGCCUUACACAUGCAAGUCGAACGGCAGCACGGGAGCAAUCCUGGUGGCGAGUGGCGAACGGGUGAGUAAUACAUCGGAACGUGCCCAAUCGUGGGGGAUAACGCAGCGAAAGCUGUGCUAAUACCGCAUAAGAUCUACGGAUGAAAGCAGGGGAUCGCAAGACCUUGCGCGAAUGGAGCGGCCGAUGGCAGAUUAGGUAGUUGGUGAGGUAAAGGCUCACCAAGCCUUCGAUCUGUAGCUGGUCUGAGAGGACGACCAGCCACACUGGGACUGAGACACGGCCCAGACUCGUACGGGAGCAGCAGUGGGAAUUUGGACAUGGGCGAAAGCCUGAUCCAGCCAUGCCGCGUGCAGGAUGAAGGCCGUUAGGUUAGUAAACUGUACUUUUCGGUAACGGAACGUAAAAGUU
rnacentral:rRNA from 1 species